AUACAAAGUGGGAGGGGAGACACCUUGAUCACGAAGGAGGUUUUCCCAGGGUGAGGCUCAUCCAUUGCACUGCGGGUGUGCUGACCCCUGCGAUUUCCCCAAAUGCGGGAAACUCGACUGCAUAAUUUGUGGUAGCUAAUCUAAAUCUAAAUCUAAUCUAAAUUUAGC